rnacentral:rRNA from 1 species
UAGGGAAUCUUCCACAAUGGACGAAAGUCUGAUGGAGCAACGCCGCGUGAGUGAUGAAGGGUUUCGGCUCGUAAAACUCUGUUGUUGGAGAAGAACGGGUGUCAGAGUAACUGUUGACAUCGUGACGGUAUCCAACCAGAAAGCCACGGCUAACUACGUGCCAGCAGCCGCGGUAAUACGUAGGUGGCAAGCGUUGUCCGGAUUUAUUGGGCGUAAAGCGAGCGCAGGGCGGUUUUUUAGGUCUGAUGUGAAAGCCUUCGGCUUAACCGGAGAAGUGCAUCGGAAACCGGGAGACUUGAGUGCAGAAGAGGACAGUGGAACUCCAUGUGUAGCGGUGAAAUGCGUAGAUAUAUGGAAGAACACCAGUGGCGAAGGCGGCUGUCUGGUCUGCAACUGACGCUGAGGCUCGAAAGCAUGGGUAGCGAACAGGAUUAGAUACCCUGGUAGUCCAUGCCGUAAACGAUGAGUGCUAAGUGUUGGA